rnacentral:rRNA from 1 species
GAAGGUGGCAAGCGUUGUUCGGAAUCACUGGGCUUAAAGCGCGCGUAGGCGGAAAUUCAAGUGUCUUGUGAAAUCCCUCGGCUUAACCGAGGAAUUGCUUGGCAAACUGAAUUUCUUGAGAUAAGUAGGGGUACAUGGAACUCUUGGUGGAGCGGUGGAAUGCGUAGAUAUCAAGAGGAACGCCGAAGGUGAAGACAGUGUACUGGGCUUAUUCUGACGCUGAGGUGCGAAAGCGUGGGGAGCGAACGGGGGAUUAGAUACCCCGGUAGUCCACGCCGUAAACGAUGUCUACUAGGUUGUGGAGGUUCUGACACCCCUCACAGUCGAAGCAAAAGUGUUAAGUAGACCGCCUGGGGGAGUACGGUCGCAAGGCUA